rnacentral:rRNA from 1 species
AGUGAACGCUGGCGGUAGGCCUAACACAUGCAAGUCGAACGGCAACACCGUGCUAGUUUGCUCUUACCGGUGGCGAGUCGCGGACGUGUGAGGUGUAUAUCCGACUCUACUUUUUCGUGUGGGAUCACGUAGGUAAGCUUACUCUCAUACCGCAUCCCCCCUUGCGUUGAAAGCGUGGGAUCUUCGCGCCUUGCGCGGUUGGAUGCGCCGAUGUGGGGUUUGCUGGUUGGCGGGGUAAUGGCCCACCCAGGCGACGAUCGGUAGCUUGAGUGAGAGAACGAUCGGCGACACUGGAAGUGAGACACGGUCCAGACUCCUAAGGGAGGCAGCAGUGGGGAAUAUUGGACAAUGGGCGCAAGCAUGAUCCAGCCAGACCGCGUGUGUGAAGAAGGCCUUCGGGUUGUAAAGACCGUUUGUGGGGGAAGAACAGCAGAAGGUUAAUACCAAGCGGGAGUGACGGUAACCGGAGAAGAAGCACCGGCUAACUACGUG